rnacentral:rRNA from 1 species
AUGAUGCCCAGCUUGCUGGGUGGAUUAGUGGCGAACGGGUGAGUAACACGUGAGUAACCUGCCCCUGACUCUGGGAUAAGCGUUGGAAACGACGUCUAAUACUGGAUAUGAUCACUGGCCGCAUGGUCUGGUGGUGGAAAGUAUUUUUGGUUGGGGAUGGACUCGCGGCCUAUCAGCUUGUUGGUGAGGUAAUGGCUCACCAAGGCGACGACGGGUAGCCCGGCCCUGAGAGGGUGACCGGCCACACUGGGACUGAGACACGGCCCAGACUCC